rnacentral:tRNA from 1 species
GAGGCUAUAGCUCAGGGGUAGGGUGUAUGCCUGGCAGGCACAAGGUCAUGGGUUCAAUCCCCAGUAACUCCA